rnacentral:rRNA from 1 species
AACGAACGCUGGCGGCAUGCCUAACACAUGCAAGUCGAACGAGACCUUCGGGUCUAGUGGCGCACGGGUGCGUAACGCGUGGGAACCUGCCCUUAGGUUCGGAAUAACUCCCCGAAAGGGGUGCUAAUACCGGAUAAUGUCUUCGGACCAAAGAUUUAUCGCCUUUGGAUGAGCCCGCGUUGGAUUAGCUAGUUGGUAGGGUAAAAGCCUACCAAGGCGACGAUCCAUAGCUGGUCUGAGAGGAUGAUCAGCCACACUGGGACUGAGACACGGCCCAGACUCCUACGGGAGGCAGCAGUGGGGAAUAUUGGACAAUGGGCGAAAGCCUGAUCCAGCAAUGCCGCGUGAGUGAUGAAGGCCUUAGGGUUGUAAAGCUCUUUUACCCGGGAUGAUAAUGACAGUACCGGGAGAAUAAGCCCCGGCUAACUCCGUG